UUUUUUUAAAUUGGGGCUACAUUGUACCGAGAGAAGGGCUCGAUUUCGAUACCUUUACUCUUGAAUUUGCCAAAAAAACGGCUGUAGCUAGAUUGAAUAAGAAGCUAUCUGGCCGGUGGUCGCGAGAGGGAUUUAGAUCUCUCCGGUCGAUUCAUCUGCUUACCGAGUUUCUUACAUUUUCUUUUUGAUUUUCUUAACAUCUUUUGAUUCGUUUUAUUGAAUGAUUGGAUAUAGUGAAUAGGGAAUAGCAGAUUUUAAAAUACCAUUUUCGAUAGUUCUUUCUCGUGUAUUAAACUUAGGGUUCCUUUCCAGGCGUUCUGUGCUCUCUUCAUGAACAGUUGUGUCUUAUUGGUACCUACAUAUGUAUUUUUUUUACAUUGAUCGCAUUUAACCAAAAGUAUAACAGUCGAUAAAGAUGAAAGUGAUUUAGUAUGGCCCUGAAUAACUUAUGUGAUUUAAUUCGACCAAAAAAUUGUUCCAUUGAAUUGUCAUAAUGAAGAUUGAAUUGUUUUGGACCUAAUCAAAGGAAUAAACAUUUGUCAUUUGGACCUAAUCAAAAGAAAUAUAUUUGAAUUGAACCAACUCAAAGGAAAAUGUUAGUUUUGUUUUGACCGAAACUAAUCGUUAAUUGUCGCUGUCGCAUAUGAAACAGAGUACUUGCAAAUGAAUUAAGAAAACGAGAAGCCUGGGAAUGAGUUUGUGAUAUUGGUUUGAAAUAGUAGAUGUGAACAAUAACCAUUUUCAGCUCCAGAAAUUAGACUGAAUGGACCUCUUGUUGUAUAUUAGAAUUCAUAAAACAAGAUAUGUAUAUUACCCCCAAAAAUUAGAGAAGUGUUUGUUCUCGAUGAAACGUUAGAUCUUGUAAACCAAACUAAGUAUUUAGAUCUGGUAGAGUAAACCUUCUAAUACACUGCAAUCAAGUCCCAAGCAAACAAGAUUUGAAUUUGAAAACACAAAUUUAAAAGCGUUCUCAUCUUGCAAAGCUGAAAAAUGAAAAUCCAUAGUAAGGGAAAACAAUUUCAGUUUAUGUACUACACAAUUAUAUAG
rnacentral:sRNA from 1 species